AGGGCCAACAGCCGCCACAGCAGCAGCGGCAUUCCACAGGCUACUGGCCAUGCUUUGCAAGCGAGCAGCAGGUGUGGAUAAAGCGCGACGGCAGCGGCGGCGCCGACCCCGCGCCCGCAACCUUCAGCCAGGCCGGCCCAGUUUCAGCUUCAGGGACCGGUGGCGUGGCGGGUGCGCGCGCUGGUGCGUCGGCCUCUGACGCACAUGCCUUUUACUCGGGCACGGGCUCGUCAGGGCCGAGCACUCGGUUCUCAAGCGUCACUGCCAUGAGCGGCGCCGGUGCGCCUGGUGGCGGCGGUGUUGCAGAAGAGGCUGACGUGGACGAUCCCAUGAUUGCGGCGGCUGCGGCGGCCUACUGGGGCUCGGCAGCCGCUCCUGAGUCGGCAAAGGAGGUGGCUGCUGGUGUUGCGGGCGCUUGGGUUAUGCGGGGCGGCGCAGCCCACGGCCUCACCGCCUCCAGCCCAGGAGCAGGCGACGGCGGUAUGCAACAGCAGCUGCAGCCACACUACCAGUACCAGCCGCCUCACACGAGCAGUCCGCAGCGCUACGUCACGGCAGCGGCUGCGGAGCCUACCGGUGCCGCCGCAGCGUCCGGCUCCCACAACGGCGGCGGCAGCACCUCAGGAUCCAUGCGCUUCUGUCGCUUCGCAGCCGCGCCGCCUGCGCUUGGCGUGCCGGGCACGGGGGUCGCGUCCGCUCGGCCGAACAGCACGCGCCCCGGCAAUCCUCCUCGGCGGCUGUCCUCUUAGGCUGACGCAAGGCCAGCAUCUCCAAUCGGCCUUGUAACGGGACCGUAUGAAGGCUCGGCAGGGGUCGCUGGAGUCAGGGUCAAGUCUGGGUCAAGUCCGGCGGGUGGUGCCAAACCGUACUCUACGGGUUGUAGACUGAUGGGCUGGAGUGCACGCAUAUGGCAUACCGUUUUGGGAAUUUUAUAUGAUUUAACUAAACGCGCGCUGCCGUUAUUGCAGCGUGCUCCGCAUCAUACUAUCUCGAUUUUCACAUUUUAAUAAAGGAACGUCCAUUUCGUUGGGCCUGAGUGUCUGGAUGUUGUACCGGUUGAGCUGUCUCUAUCUCCGUGAGGUUGCAAAGGGGAGAACCACACCGGCGGGUGGGGGGACCACACCAGGCGAGGUCCCUGCACCGCAAGAUGGCCAGGAUGUGCUGACAGGGAACGUUGCUACUGUAGCUAGUCCCACGACGCCAAGUCGCGGGAGGGCUAUCGGAGUAGGGCUGAGGAUGGCGCGUGUCAGAUGGCGACCAUACCCGGCACCGGCAUGUUGUACUGUGACACGCCACACAUGGGGCUGGUGCGGACGGCUUGACAAGCUUACAUACAUCACAAGCUGCGGGGGGCACGCCGAUUGCGUUGCCUAGACCUGACAUUGAAUCCGCGAGCGUGUGACUGGAGGUCACCAGCAAAAGUUUGACGGGUCUAAUGAAUAACAGCUCACACGGGGGAUACGGUACGCGUGGAUGGGCUAGUCGAAAAGUGCUUCGGAGGAUCUGGCAGCACUUUCGGCCACUAGUGCAAUCUCAACACGGGCGGGCUUGGGGGGGCACGGCGGACUUGGUGGGGUUGUCGGGAACUGCGAGGCCUGAGCUAGGAGGCCGUAUUUAGGAGGCCGCUGCGGGCCACGAGUGAGUUGCAAGGCUGCUUCAGGCAUGAGUGGAGGCUAUCGUCGCACCGAGAGAUUGGGUUGUCGUUUGGGCCGUGGCGGUUUGCAGCGCUACACGGCAGUAAGGUGUCAAUAAGUGCUUCGGAGGAGGCUGCCAUGGGGAGGUCGCUCCUGUCAGGGUCAGAUCAGAUUUGCGGAUCGCGGGUGCGGGCUGUCACGCAGCCAGGUGAAGGCUGUCACACGCAGCCACAUAAUGGCUGACAUAGUACUUGGACUGAAUGCCAAUAAUGGCGCAAUGUCAGUAACCCCUGUGAACAAGAAGUGGCUGAGCCCACGCCUGUGUGACAAAAGCAGUCUACCGGCAAUUCUUGACCCUGACGCUUCGAGCAUUUCAUUCAUCUGGGGUUUUGACAUGUCUCUAUGUAUUUUAAACGACCGUCAUGAACACCAUCAGUGGCUGACUCGGCUCGGCGUGCUGCACUCCUGCCGUACACAACAUCGCGCACGUGGCGUGCUGGUGUGCGCUGUGCGCCUGCACGGAUGCAGCGCCCGGUACAUGAUGAGGACAUAUGCGGGCAGUAGCUGGGUAUACAGGACUGCGGACGGGGGCGGGGCGCACCGGCAACACAAGGCGGAGUAUGAGUGUUAGUGUUUGGUUUGGGGCGUUGGUUGAUGCGCCGCCCGGAUCAACCGCCACCCGGAUCGGCAAGGUAUGGCGACAUGCACCUGAGUGAUGAUGAAUUAUGUAUCGACUCAGCAGGAUGCGACUAAGCGUAGAAGUUACACGGGGAGUGACCUACAAAGUGACGACGUUAAGGCUGUGGAAUGUGGCACGUGCAGCAGGGUGUGUGUGUUUAGGAAAUAAAGGGCCAGACCCCAUGCCCAGAAAUCCCCCGGGACCCCCCUUGAGGGGACGACCGACCCCCCCCCGGACACAAUCUUGUUGUUUCAGGUUGUUUAGGGGUUGAACCCCCUCCAUUUAAUACCAAAGUGGCGUCAAUCGACUCCUCGUGACGAGCACUAUCACUCCGUGCCAUCAGCGGUCCUGUUCUGAGACAUCGGUCACCGGCGGGAUCCUAUCCAUGGAAAUCCCUUCGACCCAGCCCACCCCGCGUGCAACUCUCUGCAAUUUGAUGUAUGGACAGCGUGCAUCGGCAGCCUUGUUUACAAUGACUUCAUGCGCACCAGCGCUUGAGAGCCCCGCCACGUCAGGCGCGUGUGUCAAACGUGGGGAUCAUGUUUACGCCAGGACGCGCAAAUCAGCCCUCCCACACUUUGUUUGUGCUUUUUCCUGCAUAACUGCAUGUCUGGGCCUCGUCGUGCUGCGUUUGUCCCCUAGUUCAGCUUGUGGUGCGCUUCCCGAAAUCCUGGGAUGGACUCCCAAAACCCGGCGGACCCCCAGGGACGACCCCCAAAGUUGGCGGCCCAGAAUUUCCUCGCCAAACCACCCCUGACCAAACUAAAUGUACGUGUGUAAUGCUCUCCGGAAGCUCUACAGUUUUGAGCAUGGGGUAAGAUUCUGAGCUGUCUACGCUCCCCCCCCCACCCCGGCGUGCAGCCCCACACCGUGCCCCACACGGGGAAUGCUGGCCUAGAUGAGGGCCCAGGAGGGAGUCUGUGCACUGCCCGACAAAGAUUUCCAGGGGACGGCUGCUGCACUGAAGGGCCUCUAAUGUACUGGAAGGAACCGCACAGGCGAGGUGCAAGCACACGGCAGCCGAGGCUGAAGCUGGCGGAAAACAACGCGCAGUGCCUGCACCGUGUCGCCGCGUGGCUCAAUACACAGGAAAUGUAAAAGUUACUCCAUGUGUUGACAAAACCUGCGCACAAGUCGUGCGGCUGUUGGAACUGUCAGGAGAAACCGGUCAUCCCGACAGGCUCGUCGGUCUGGCCGUUUCUCGGCCCCCUGCGACUAAGACGUUAACCUAGGCUUGUGCCACGCUUGAAAAUAGUAUGCCAUGCAAUUAGAAUAACGUUUGCCCGGUUUGGGUUUCUGUUCAAACCGCUGCAACUUUCUGCUGCUACAUAAAUGGACGUGGAAUCCCGCCUAGCCGAGCUGCGAGACGAGUAUGAGCGCAGUCGGGCGUUCCUGGCGCAGCUCGAGUGGUCACUCAAGGUUCGGGAGCCCGAGCCAGAAGAGUCAGAGGCCCGCCGAGGCGAGGGACAUGACAGUACUGCGAAGCUUGAAGAUUCAGCGCGUGUGCCGAAGCUGGACGCGCACCCAGCGUCGCCCCAGCCGCAAGCCAUUGGGGAACGUGAAGCCACGGCGACGUCGCCAUUCAAAACUGCGCACAAAGGACUGGGUUCACGCUUCACUGGAUGGAUUAAGAACAAACUCGCGCCGGGCGGGCACGACGACGCUCCCUCGUUUACCCGCUGCACCAAAUCGUGUGUGCAGCCUGCUCGCCGUCGGGCUUCCUUCGCCACCGUCAACCUGGACCUUGGCGGUGCGCUCGGCGGCAUGGGCGGUGUGGCAGUCGCGACCUACAGCCCCGGCGCAGCCAUCCAAGUCAAUGGCCAGCUAAGCUACGGCCAGGUGCCGCAGGGCGCGCCGUCGCCAGUGGGCCACUGCAACAGCCCCGGCGGCGUGCCCUCGCCAAGCGGGGGUUCAUUCACGCUGUCGUCGGCCGCCGGCGGCCGCGGCCGGGCACCCAUGUCGCGCCGCGCCAGUUUCGUAACUUCAACCAUAAUGCGUUCUUCAGCCAGCAACCAGGUGCAUCCCCAGCCGGGCGGGUGCGGCGACGGCGAUGGGGACGGGGAUGGUGUGCUGCUGAACACGGAUGAGAACGGGGUGGCGGUGAGAGGGCCGGGGCUGGCGGCACCGACGGCGUCAGGUCGCCUCAGUGGCGUGCUGGGGUCAGGCCAGGCCGGUCCGAUCGUGCCGCUGCAUGUCGCGCCCGCCAGCGCACCGCCUUUACAGCGCUUCCCGCUGCGUCGCUCGUCCCUAGACGAAAGGCGCCCAGCCGCCACCGCCGUCGCUGCGAGCGGCAGCAGCAGGGGGCUUGUGCCCUCCGGUCAGCGGCGCGCCAGCAUGGACCUCCAGCGGUCGCCGCCCAUGGCUCUGUCCACAACGACAGGAGCCGGACCUAACGGGGCACUGCCUGCAGUAAGCGGGGCAGAGGUGGCAGCGGCGGUGCCUGAUGAGUUGACGGAGGUGCAACCGCAAUUUCUACCGUCAGUGAACGCUGCCCAGGGCCAGCAGCCGCCACAGCAGCGCUUGUGGCAACAUGUGCAACAACAGCAACAGCAACAGCCGCCACAGCAGCAGCGGCAUUUCACAGGCUACCGGCCAUGCUUCGCAAGCGAGCAGCAGGUGUGGAUAAAGCGCGACGGCAGCGGCGGCGCCGACCCCGCGCCCGCAACCUUCAGCCAGGCUGGCCCAGUUUCAGCUUCAGGGACCGGUGGCGUGGCGGCUGCGCGCGCUGGUGCGUCGGCCUCUGACACACAUGCCUUUUACUCGGGUGCGGGGUCAUCGGGACCGCG
rnacentral:lncRNA from 1 species